rnacentral:tRNA from 3 species
GCUGGGGUGGCGGAAUCGGCAGACGCGAUGGACUCAAAAUCCAUUGGCCGAAAGGUCGUGCGGGUUCAACUCCCGCCCCCAGCA